rnacentral:rRNA from 1 species
GACGAACGCUGGCGGCGUGCUUAACACAUGCAAGUCGAACGGAAAGGCCCUGCUUUUGUGGGGUGCUCGAGUGGCGAAAGGGUGAGUAACACGUGAGUAACCUGCCCUUGACUUUGGGAUAACUUCAGGAAACUGGGGCUAAUACCGGAUAGGAGCUCCUGCUGCAUGGUGGGGGUUGGAAAGUUUCGGCGGUUGGGGAUGGACUGGCGGCUUAUCAGCUUGUUGGUGGGGUAGUGGCUUACCAAGGCUUUGACGGGUAGCCGGCCUGGGAGGGUGACCGGCCACAUUGGGACUGAGAUACGGCCCAGACUCCUACGGGAGGCAGCAGUGGGGAAUAUUGCACAAUGGGCGGAAGCCUGAUGCAGCAACGCCGCGUGCGGGAUGACGGCCUUCGGGUUGUAAACCGCUUUCGCCUGUGACGAAGCGUGAGUGACGGUAAUGGGUAAAGAAGCACCGGCUAACUACGUG